rnacentral:lncRNA from 1 species
AUUAUAUAUUAAUAUUUUAAACAUAUAUAUAUAUAUAUUUUAUACUUUAGACAAUCGUAAUGUAUAUACUAUUCCACCCAGAGGAAUAGACAUAAAGAAUUGGAUCUCAUUUUCAAAUAAGGAAUAAAAAAUGUUAUUUUAGACAAAUUGGUGAAGGUAUUAAAUAAGAUAGAAAGCAAAGCACACACACGCACACACGCGCACACACACCUAUGAUAAAAUUUAAUUUAUAAAUUAGGCACAAUAAGACGUUAAUAAUAAAAUAGAACAAUUAUAUUAUUAAAUUACGUGAAUGUAUUUUCUUCUUGUGAUGUGAUUGAUAAUACAAUGCCUAUGCAAUGAUGAAUGAACUUAAAUUAUGAAUGUUUAUUGUAUUUCUGAAUUUCUUAUUUAAUUUUUCAGACUGUG